rnacentral:rRNA from 1 species
GACGAACCGAGCGAACGUUAUUCGGAAUCACUGGGCUUAAAGGGCGCGUAGGCGGGCGAUCAAGUCAGGGGUGAAAGCCCCCAGCUCAACUGGGGAAGUGCCUUUGAUACUGGUCGUCUCGAGGGGGAUAGGGGCGUGCGGAACUUCCGGUGGAGCGGUGAAAUGCGUAGAUAUCGGAAGGAACACCGGUGGCGAAAGCGGCGCGCUGGAUCCCUUCUGACGCUGAGGCGCGAAAGCCAGGGGAGCGGAACGGG